GAUUAUAUUUAUAUGAAACAUUACGGGCAUUACUGCACAACAGAUGCGAAGAUGUUUCGCACGGUUUGCUUUUGUUCACUCUUGCUCGCUACUGGUCUCGUCCAUGGCGAGAUCAAAAACAAGGGAUGGUGGAGGAACGCCGUAUUUUAUCAAAUUUAUCCACGGAGUUUCAUGGAUUCCAAUGAUGAUGGAAUCGGCGAUCUAAAAGGUAUUACAUCGAAAUUGGAACAUUUUGUCGACGCUGGAGUUCGAGGAAUAUGGCUUUCACCUAUUUAUGCGAGUCCAAUGAUAGAUUUUGGUUACGACAUAUCAGAUUUCAAAGCCAUACAUCCAGAGUUUGGUACCAUGCAGGAUUUCGAGACAUUGGUGGCCAAAUCGAAGAAACUUGGAUUAAAAGUAAUUCUUGAUCUCGUACCAAAUCAUACAUCCGACAAGCACGAAUGGUUCCAAAAGUAUCUCGCCGGGGAGGAAAAAUAUAAGGAUUAUUAUAUUUGGAGAAAGGGCCGAAAGGAUGAUGGAGUGACGCCACCGAACAAUUGGAUCAGUGUGUUCAGUGGACCUGCGUGGACAUACAAUGCAACCUUGAAGGAAUGGUAUUUCCAUCAAUUCGAGUACAGGCAACCAGACUUGAAUUACAGUCAUCCAGAAGUGCGAGCCGAGAUGGAAGAGGUCAUUCGAUUUUGGCUACGUAAAGGCGUAGACGGUUUUCGAAUAGACGCCGUUCCGCAUCUUUUCGAAAUAGAAGAUCUCCGUGAUGAACCUAGAAGUUCGGAUCCAAGUGCUACCGAUCGUGAUUACACUUAUUUGAACCACAUUUAUACCAAAGAUGAUCCACGAACCUAUGAACUGGUACAAAGCUGGAGAAACAUUCUCGAUGAUUAUUCCGAUGCCAAUAACGAGGAUGAGAAGGUGAUGAUGACCGAGGCUUAUACUUCUCUAGAAAAUACUACGAAGUAUUACGAGUACGGUUCUCACAUACCAUUUAAUUUCAAACUGAUCACUGACGUGAACCACAAUUCGAGCGCGACCGAUUUUAAGAGAAUCAUCGAGACAUGGAUGGCUCACACUCCAAGUACUGGAAGUGCCAAUUGGGUGUUGGGAAAUCACGAUCGAAGUCGUACUGCCUCACGUUAUCCAAAAAGGGCUGUCCAGAUGACUAUGUUACCAAUGAUUUUGCCUGGCGUUGCCGUCACUUAUUACGGAGAAGAAAUUGGAAUGUCUGACAAGAAUGACAUAUCUUGGGAGGAUACACAAGAUCCGCAGGCUUGUAAUGCAGGAAAGGAUAAGUAUCAAAGCCGAUCUCGCGAUCCAAAUCGCACACCUUUCCAAUGGGACAAUAGCACAAAUGCUGGAUUCAGUAAAGGUAAUCGUACGUGGCUUCCUGUUCAUGAAAGUUAUAAACUAUUGAAUUUGGAAAAUCAGAAGAAUAUCGUAGGUCCGUCAGUUUAUAAGGUAUAUCGAUCUUUGAUUCAAUUGCGUAACUCAUCGCGUGCUCUUCAAGAAGGUAAUUUGAGAAUGAAUGUAGUAAAAUUCAACACUCAUUUUUGUUACAACUGCGAAAUGUUAGUUAUUAAUCGAGAAAUCCCUGGAGAAUCAGUAACUUUCUUUAUGAGUUUCUCUCCAGUGUUAGAUAUUUUCGUAGAGUUGAACAAAUAUAUGACACUGUACAAUGAGACAUAUGUCGAAGCCGAUGGCUAUUAUGAGGAGAGACAUAAACCAUAUUGGAACAAUUUAAACCUUCCACCAUUCCAAGGAGCAGUCGUAUCAUCUAAGAAUUAGAUUCGUUUUCGAUAAAUUGCAGUAGGAUUUGGAGAUAUAAUGGAAAAUUCUGCAUAACUACGGAAACGCAUGCGCAUGGCUUAAUCGGAUCAUAUGUGGGAAGCGUAACGCGAGCUGUAUUGAAAGAAACGUAAGCAGCUGCAACACUUAGCGUGGCGCAAAUCAACGGAGCUUUCUGUUCGAAAGUUACUUUAACGAUUUGUCAUAUUUCAUUGACAAAACAGUUAGUUUCCGAAAUUUAAUUCGUUGAUAUAUUCUGUACAGUAGUUUUGUUUAAAAUCGCGCUUUUAAACGCGGAUAAGACAUAGACUAACGUUGAUUUAAAUAUUUACGUAAGUCCGUCAGUGUUUCUUGGUGCGUUUUUAAACGAAACUCGAAGAUGUGAUCGAGUUUUAUCGAUUACGAUUAUUUGUAUAAGGUGUUAAGAAAAGAUAAAAGUGUCACGUUGAAAGUAUAAAUAUUAAUAAUAAAGGGUAUGUACAUUAUAUUUUUUCUUGACAUUACAUAUGUUAUCGAGAGCACAGCUUUUACGUUACUAUAAUCGUCUUUAUGUUUUAUUUCAUAUUAAUAUCGAUUGCGUUAGGCAAGAGAAUCAUUUUGAAAAAAAAGAUGAACAAUUGUAUAAAAGACUAAUAUAAUACAAAAGAAAAGAAAAAGAAAAAAGAAACCAAAAACCUGAGGUACAUUUUGCGACGACCCGCA